UCCUUGUUAUGAUGAUUUUCGGUUUCACAAGCGUGUAAUUUGCCGUAAAAUGAUUAUAUUAUUACGUCAUCGUUCUAUGACGUCGGGAAGCUCAUUCAUAAAAAAGCAUCUGAUGUGGGAGUACGAUCGGAACAGCACAGCAAAUAUAUUCAUAUUUUUACCACGGGUGUGUACUCAAAGCGUUUGAAGGACGUCAUGUUAGAAUAAAGAAUAUGAUUUGUUAUUCAGGAAUGUAUUUAACAAUGUGUUUGUCAUUGUGCACACAAUUCAUUAUAUACCACAUAUUGUUUGCCACAAAAGUUAUCCGACGGCCUUCCCAAAUUAGCAAAACCAAUACUGCAUAAAAAGCUUAUACAAAAUGUAGACACGAUUAGCUUUAAAACAAUUUAAACUUGAAGACCAAUGACCUUAUUCAUGUUCAAAACACAUGGAAUUAAUCGCAAACGACUACCACUGAAUUAAUGGCUUCUCAACAUAGAUGGUCUUUGUCAUUGUAUCGUAUGUUGCCUGUUGAACAUAGUUGAUGAAGUCAAAACGCCCCCAAUAGACAGU
rnacentral:lncRNA from 1 species